UACGAAGGGGGCUAGCGUUGUUCGGAUUGACUGGGCGUAAAGGGCGCGUAGGCGGUUCGUACAGUCAGACGUGAAAUUCCUGGGCUCAACCUGGGGGCUGCGUUUGAUACGUGCGGACUUGAGUGCGGAAGAGGGUCGUGGAAUUCCCAGUGUAGAGGUGAAAUUCGUAGAUAUUCGGAAGAACACCAGUGGCGAAGGCGACUCGCUGGACAAGUAUUGACGCUGAGGUGCGAAAGCGUGGGGAGCAAACAGG
rnacentral:rRNA from 1 species